rnacentral:rRNA from 1 species
UUUAUGGAGAGUUUGAUCCUGGCUCAGGAUGAACGCUGGCGGCGUGCCUAAUACAUGCAAGUCGAGCGAACGGACGAGAAGCUUGCUUCUCUGAUGUUAGCGGCGGACGGGUGAGUAACACGUGGAUAACCUACCUAUAAGACUGGGAUAACUUCGGGAAACCGGAGCUAAUACCGGAUAAUAUUUUGAACCGCAUGGUUCAAAAGUGAAAGACGGUCUUGCUGUCACUUAUAGAUGGAUCCGCGCUGCAUUAGCUAGUUGGUAAGGUAACGGCUUACCAAGGCAACGAUGCAUAGCCGACCUGAGAGGGUGAUCGGCCACACUGGAACUGAGACACGGUCCAGACUCCUACGGGAGGCAGCAGUAGGGAA